AUUGAACGCUAGCGGCAUGCCUUACACAUGCAAGUCGAACGGCGUGGCGAACGGGUGAGUAAUGUAUCGGAACGUGCCCAGUAGUGGGGGAUAACUACCCGAAAGCGUCGCUAAUACCGCAUACUAUUGGAGCGGCCGAUAUCGGAUUAGCUAGUUGGUGGGGUAACGGCCCACCAAGGCGAAGAUCCGUAGCUGGUUUGAGAGGACGACCAGCCAGACUGGAACUGAUACACGGCCCAGACUCCUACGGGAGGAAGCAGUGGGGAAUUUUGGACAAUGGGGGAAAGCCUGAUCCAGCCAUCCCGCGUGUGCGAUGAAGGCCUUCGGGUUGUAAAGCACUUUUAGGCGGGAAGCGUUACCUGCAGAAUAAGCACCGGCUAACUUCGUGCCAGCAGCCGCGGUAAUUC
rnacentral:rRNA from 1 species